UGAGGAAUAUUGCGCAAUGGGGGCAACCCUGACGCAGCGACGCCGCGUGGAUGAUGAAGGCCUUCGGGUCGUAAAAUCCUGUCAAGUGGAAAGAAGUGCAUGGUGGCUAAUACCUGCUGUGCUUGACGGUACCACUGAAGGAAGCACCGGCUAACUCCGUGCCAGCAGCCGCGGUAAUACGGAGGGUGCAAGCGUUGUUCGGAAUUACUGGGCGUAAAGCGCGCGUAGGCGGUUUUAUAAGUCAGAUGUGAAAGCCCAUGGCUCAACCAUGGACGUGCAUUUGAAACUGUGAGACUUGAGUAUUGGAGGGGGUGGUGGAAUUCCCGGUGUAGAGGUGAAAUUCGUAGAUAUCGGGAGGAAUACCAGUGGCGAAGGCGACCACCUGGCCAAAUACUGACGCUCAUGUGCGAAAGCGUGGGGAGCAAACAGG
rnacentral:rRNA from 1 species